UACAGAGGAUGCAAGCGUUAUCCGGAAUGAUUGGGCGUAAAGCGUCUGUAGGUGGCUUUUUAAGUCCGCCGUCAAAUCCCAGGGCUCAACUCUGGACAGGCGGUGGAAACUACCAAGCUGGAGUACGGUAGGGGCAGAGGGAAUUUCCGGUGGAGCGGUGAAAUGCGUAGAUAUCAGGAAGAACACCCGUGGCUAAGGCGGCUCUCUAGUACGGUACUGACGCUGAGACGCGAAAGCGUGGGGAGCGAACAGG
rnacentral:rRNA from 1 species